AGAGCGAACGCUGGCGGCAGGCCUAACACAUGCAAGUCGAGCGCCCCGCAAGGGGAGCGGCAGACGGGAGAGUAACACGUGGGAACGUACCCUUUGGUUCGGAACAACACAGGGAAACUUGUGCUAAUACCGGAUAAGCCCUUACGGGGAAAGAUUUAUUGCCAAAGGAUCGGCCCGCGUCUGAUUAGCUUGUUGGUGAGGUAACGGCUCACCAAGGCUACGAUCAGUAGCUGGUCUGAGAGGAUGAUCAGCCUCACUGGGACUGAGACACGGCCCAGACUCCUACGGGAGGCAGCAGUGGGGAAUAUUGGGCAAUGGGCGCAAGCCUGAUCCAGCCAUGCCGCGUGGAUGAUGAAGGCCCUAGGGUUGUAAAGUCCUUUCGACGGGGAAGAUAAUGACGGUACCCGUAGAAGAAGCCCCGGCUAACUUCGUGCCAGCAGCCGC
rnacentral:rRNA from 1 species